CAAAGCGCAUACUCCUUGCAGUAAAUUAUAUUGGUUAUUCAAAUUUGUUAUUUAUAGCAUCAAAAUUAAAAAGGUUGGAACUAGAAUUUCAGAGUAUCAAAAGAUGGAACAAAUAAAAACUCGCAAGAAUCUACAUCAUCAAGUUUUACAAAUAUGGCCAGAGAAAUGAGAAUGCUAUAUGGAUGUUGAUUCAUUGGUCAAAACAAUGGAAAAACAAGGAGAAAGUUUGCUAAAAAGAAAACAGAUGCUUAAAGCAGAAAGAGAAAAGCUUUCAUUGAAUCCUUUGUUUAAUUAUAUACUUGGCAAGGAUCAUGUUGUGAAGAAAAUUAAUUCCAGCAAAAUUGGUGAUCUCAAAUUCGAACUCGACGGUGUUUUAUUGAUCGUUAUGCUUGUAAACAUUCCAAAUGAUUAUUUUUUGUGAAGCUGUUAAUACUCAGCAAUGUAAAAAAUUUAAUAAAUUUAAUGGGAAAAAAUAAAAAAAAAAAUUAUACAAAUUUA